rnacentral:rRNA from 1 species
GACGAACGCUGGCAGCGUGGAUUAGGCAUGCAAGUCGAACGGUAUCAUCCUUUCGGGGGUGAGAGAGUGGCGAACUGGUGAGUAACACGUAGGUUAUCUACCCUCAAGACGGGGACAACCCAGGGAAACUUGGGCUAAUACCGGAUGUGAGCAACUUUUAGUUGUUUGAAAGGUGGCGUAAGCUGUCGCUUGGGGAUGAGCCUGCGUCCUAUUAGUUAGUUGGUGAGGUAACGGCUCACCUAGGCAAUGAUAGGUAGGCGGCCUUAACGGGUGGUCGCCCACACUGGGAUUGAGAUACGGCCCAGACUCCUACGGGAGGCAGCAGUCGAGAAUAGUCUACAAUGGUCGGAAGACUGAUAGUGCGACGCCGCGUGAACGAUGAAUCCCUUCGGGGUGUAAAGUUCUUUUAUAUGUGAGCAGUGCUUCUUAUAUUAACAGUAUGGGGAGAGAGAUAUUAGCAUAUGAAUAAGCAACGGCUAACUCCGUGCCAGCAGCCGCGGUAAACUCG